UACGUAGGAGGCGAGCGUUGUCCGGAAUUAUUGGGCGUAAAGAGCUCGUAGGCGGCUUGUCACGUCGGGUGUGAAAGCCCGGGGCUUAACCCCGGGUCUGCAUUCGAUACGGGCUAGCUAGAGUGUGGUAGGGGAGAUCGGAAUUCCUGGUGUAGCGGUGAAAUGCGCAGAUAUCAGGAGGAACACCGGUGGCGAAGGCGGAUCUCUGGGCCAUUACUGACGCUGAGGAGCGAAAGCGUGGGGAGCGAACAGG
rnacentral:rRNA from 1 species